UGUCACAGAUCACGAUCAUGAAGCUGGGAAGAAAGGCACAGGCAACUCUUACAGGCUAUUCAGGUUUUCUGUAGUAAUAAAAGCCUCACGAUGUCACUGGUUGGUGCAGCAGAUGAUAUGCUCUCCAUGGUCCAUCACAGAAGCAGCAGAUAUGCUUUCGUUGCUAUGGCCAUGGUCCUGCGCAGCAGUGCUGGGCUCUUGUCCAUGUGCCUUCUCAUGCUGAGAUUGGGGUGAAGUUGCCCCCCAUCUCUCUGGGGCAGAUCUGCUCUGAUGGGAGCAGAAGGAAACCAUCGUGAGAAAGAGGAUGAGGAUGUUUCCUGGAAGACAAAGGCAAGAUCAAAAUAAAUAGUAUC